UACGUAGGCUGCGAGCGUUGUCCGGAAUUACUGGGCGUAAAGAGCUCGUAGGUGGUUUGUUGCGUUUUUCGUGAAAUCUCACGGCUUAACUGUGAGCGUGCGGGCGAUACGGGCAGACUAGAGUACUGCAGGGGAGACUGGAAUUCCUGGUGUAGCGGUGGAAUGCGCAGAUAUCAGGAGGAACACCGGUGGCGAAGGCGGUUCUCUGGGCCGGUACUGACGCUGAGGAGCGAAAGCGUGGGGAGCGAACAGG
rnacentral:rRNA from 1 species